rnacentral:rRNA from 2 species
AGAGUUUGAUCAUGGCUCAGAUUGAACGCUGGCGGCAGGCCUAACACAUGCAAGUCGAGCGGAUGAGUGGAGCUUGCUCCAUGAUUCAGCGGCGGACGGGUGAGUAAUGCCUAGGAAUCUGCCUGGUAGUGGGGGACAACGUUUCGAAAGGAACGCUAAUACCGCAUACGUCCUACGGGAGAAAGUGGGGGAUCUUCGGACCUCACGCUAUCAGAUGAGCCUAGGUCGGAUUAGCUAGUUGGUGAGGUAAAGGCUCACCAAGGCGACGAUCCGUAACUGGUCUGAGAGGAUGAUCAGUCACACUGGAACUGAGACACGGUCCAGACUCCUACGGGAGGCAGCAGUGGGGAAUAUUGGACAAUGGGCGAAAGCCUGAUCCAGCCAUGCCGCGUGUGUGAAGAAGGUCUUCGGAUUGUAAAGCACUUUAAGUUGGGAGGAAGGGCAGUAAGUUAAUACCUUGCUGUUUUGACGUUACCAACAGAAUAAGCACCGGCUAACUUCGUGCCAGCAGCCGCGGUAAUACGAAGGGUGCAAGCGUUAAUCGGAAUUACUGGGCGUAAAGCGCGCGUAGGUGGUUCGUUAAGUUGGAUGUGAAAGCCCCGGGCUCAACCUGGGAACUGCAUCCAAAACUGGCGAGCUAGAGUAUGGCAGAGGGUGGUGGAAUUUCCUGUGUAGCGGUGAAAUGCGUAGAUAUAGGAAG